CGCAGGGACAACACAAAACAGAAUUUAUGAUAUUCUUCGAAUCAUGAAUUUUUGUGGGGCUUUUGCACGCCAGGAUAGCAGUGAUCAGUGAUUAGUGAACAGUGAUGUGUCAAGUGAGAUCUAGACAACAACUACGUGACAGAAUCAUCGACCUGGUGGACACCCAAGGAUAAAUGUGGCGCUGAAGCGUAAAAAAGGCGAAAACGAAAGCAGUUGUUUUCGGCCAACGCCGUGUCACUUUCUAACAGUACGUCGUGUAAGUACACGGGAUUGAACGUACAAAGAGAGGGGGGAAAAAAGAAGGAAAAUAAUGAAUUGGUCGUAGACAGGAUGUCUCCCCACGGAUAACACAGCCAUGUGCUUGUAGACGUUGGGAAGUUGUUCCAGCCUGACCUCUCGCGACCUCCAGACGCAGAAUGGCGACGCCGAUGACGUCAAAGGCCGCGUACACACUUGUUCCGCUAGGUGUAUUGGUUUAGUGCAACGAACAUUGAGGAGAGGGGAAAAAGGGAUUCGUGAAUCAACGCUGCACAGCCUGCAGAAGUAAAACGGAGUCGGAAAACCUUGUAAACAGUGAAAGAAACGAUGACACGAAACGAUGACUGAGACACUCGCAAAUGUUGGAGAUGUUGGAGAUGGACAAAGUGGGCCAGAGGCCCUAUAGGGCCUCACCCACCACCCGAGUGAAAAACCCCCGAACUCCCGGGAAGAAGUCAACUCCCCCGACCCCGAGUCCGGCGAGCAUCAUCAAGACGGGAAGUUUAUAUAGCAUUCCACAUUUCUUGUGACGUCAAAGGAAAUCGUUGGAUAGGAUUUUGGAUGAGGUAGGAAGGGGAACAGGAUAAUUCUCCAUAUAAUUUUUGCAAGAAAAAUUACUGAAAAAUGGAUAGUCCAGACCGGGAUUUGAACCCGGGACCUUCCGAUUAUGCAUCGGGUGCUCUUCCAACUGAGCUAUCCGGCUCCUAGCCAUUUCUUCUAUUCACCCCCCCCCCUCCACUAUAGUGGAGGUGCUGAGAAGGGGGCCCAACAGGACAUGGUGCAGAAGACUAGUGGAGAUAGAAAGGAUCCUGACGCAGAUAGAAGACGAGAGGAGAGAGGGACGAGAGGAGUUGAGGGCAAAUCAGGGAUUAGACUGAAUAAUUACAAACUCCCAGGAGGAUGGAGAGAGGCAGAGGAGAGAGUGUGAGGAACAACGCGAAACCAAGCCAAUAAAGAAAGGAGGAAAUAAAUAAAUAAACAAAUAAAUAAGCCAAUAGUGUACUACUCAAAUGCCCAGAAUUGCAGCAAAGGGCUCGCACAUAUUAGAAUAGUAGUAAUAAUUUUGAAAAGUUAUUUAUAAUCUAUUACCUAUUUUUCAUAUUUUAAGAGAGGGGAGUAGAAGGAGAAGGUGUAAAACACAGGAUAUAGCACCAAAGAAGAUAAAAUUCUUAUUAUUAUACAUCAGAAGGAACAAUAUUCAAGCAUUCCCUUUUUUUAUUAUUUUUUUUCUUCGCAUAACUCUCUCAUGGCAUGAUCAUACUAAAAUUAAUGGAAUUUUUUUUGACUGAAGAAUACAAAUGUCAAAACCACCCCCAUUCUCAUCUAUAAAUUCUCUCCCCCCUAUCGACAUACAUUAUACUGAGCGCGGUUAUUAUUGCAACAGAGAGUGAAGUUUUUAUCAAAAGCUGUCACACGGUGCAGACAGAGACUAGCCAAUAAAAAAAAAACCACCAGCUAUCCAUUCGAGGUGCUUUCAUGGAAUAAUCGCAACCCCAGACUUGGGGAAAUGAUGAAUAGAGCGCAAGUAAUGACACAAAUUGAUCAUUGAAAUCAAUACCAAUAUGUAAUUCUAUAAAGGGAACUGGGCUUUGAGAUGAUGGUAAUAGUUGGCUAGCAUCCGUUUUGCUCGAUAAUAUAAAAAGAAAUUAUGUAGAAAUGAGACCCAGAUAUUGGGCAAGAGGGAUUUUCUGGUGACACGCGAUUUUCAAAUCUGGGGACUGUCGUUCACAGGAGAGGAACAGUAGUAUGAAUCGAUCAGGCGAAUUGCCGGUAACUGACUUGCACAAAAAAAAUAUCUGUCAGCGACAUAUCCUUGAGAAAUUCUUAGAGGAAUUUUGGAAAAAUUAUUUAGAAGAAGU